rnacentral:rRNA from 1 species
ACGCGACCCCAGGUCAAGCGGGGCUACCC